rnacentral:lncRNA from 1 species
CUUUGGGAUUGGUCUCAAGUGGUCCUGGAGACAUUCUCUCCACAGUUUCCUUUUUCAUCUAUGUAAUUACAUGGUCCAGACUAUUUACUGUGAAAGUACUGGUCUCUUAGCCUGUAAGGCUUGUGCAUGAUGUAUAUGAGAGCGAUUUCCAGCAGAGAGAAGCUUAUCACAGAUCCACCUAAAAGGUUCCCCCUCCAGAUGUUUCAUGAACGUCACUGUACUUUCUGCCCUGGGGACAGAACAGAUAGGAAUGGAAACCACUUCAGCCAGCUAUCAGUCAAUGGUAGGUCAUCCUUACUCAUUAAUCAUUGGUUUAUUGUAACUGGCCUUCUUCACUAUGCUAGAACUUUUUUUCUACAUAUAUUUUAAGACAAGAUGGUUGCACUUUAAGUAAAAC